CAGUGAGGAAGGUGGGUAUGUUAAUAGUCAUAUUCAUUUGACGUUAGCUGCAGAAGAAGCACCGGCUAACUCCGUGCCAGCAGCCGCGGUAAUACGGAGGGUGCGUAGCGUUAAUCGGAAUUACUGGGCGUAAAGCGCAUGCAGGUGGUUUGUUAAGUCAGAUGUGAAAGCCCGGGGCUCAACCUCGGAAUUGCAUUUGAAAACUGGCAAACUAGAGUACUGUAGAGGGGGUAGAAUUUCAGGUGUAGCGGUGAAAUGCGUAGAGAUCUGAAGGAAUACCGGUGGCGAAGGCGGCCCCCUGGACAGAUACUGACACUCAGAUGCGAAAGCGUGGGGACGCAAACAGGAUUAGACUACCCUGGUAG
rnacentral:rRNA from 1 species